rnacentral:rRNA from 1 species
GACGAACGCUGGCGGCGUGCUUAACACAUGCAAGUCGAACGGAAAGGCCCUGCUUUUGUGGGGUGCUCGAGUGGCGAACGGGUGAGUAACACGUGAGUAACCUGCCCUUGACUUUGGGAUAACUUCAGGAAACUGGGGCUAAUACCGGAUAGGAGCUCCUGCUGCAUGGUGGGGGUUGGAAAGUUUCGGCGGUUGGGGACGGACUCGCGGCUUAUCAGCUUGUUGGUGGGGUAGUGGCUUACCAAGGCUUUGACGGGUAGCCGGCCUGAGAGGGUGACCGGCCACAUUGGGACUGAGAUACGGCCCAGACUCCUACGGGAGGCAGCAGUGGGAAAUAUUGCACAAUGGGCGGAAGCCUGAUGCAGCAACGCCGCGUGCGGGAUGACGGCCUUCGGGUUGUAAACCGCUUUCGCCUGUGACGAAGCGUGAGUGACGGUAACGGGUAAAGAAGCACCGGCUAACUACGUG